UGGGGAAUAUUGGACAAUGGGCGCAAGCCUGAUCCAGCAAUGCCGCGUGAGUGAUGAAGGCCUUAGGGUUGUAAAGCUCUUUUACCAGGGAUGAUAAUGACAGUACCUGGAGAAUAAGCUCCGGCUAACUCCGUGCCAGCAGCCGCGGUAAUACGGAGGGAGCUAGCGUUGUUCGGAAUUACUGGGCGUAAAGCGCACGUAGGCGGCUACUCAAGUCGGGGGUGAAAGCCCGGGGCUCAACCCCGGAACUGCCCUCGAAACUAGGUAGCUAGAAUCUUGGAGAGGUCAGUGGAAUUCCGAGUGUAGAGGUGAAAUUCGUAGAUAUUCGGAAGAACACCAGUGGCGAAGGCGACUGACUGGACAAGUAUUGACGCUGAGGUGCGAAAGCGUGGGGAGCAAACAGG
rnacentral:rRNA from 1 species